UUCUUGUUUUGAAAAUAAAAACUUUUACUGCUACGGUUUUUGAAAAUCUCAUUGCUAACUUAUUUAAAAGUUUUAACUUUUAAUUCGACUGUAUAAUUUCUUUCAUUUUGUCGUUCUCGUGAAACCGUGUACGUUUAAGUCCAAAAUGUAAACAAACGUUUAGGUGAUUCCGGUGGUUAGUGAGUGGUGGUCCACGACGUCAAUCAAAACAGAACGCGUCCGCAGCCAGGACUUGGACACGGAUACCUUCGAAGGAGGAUGGUGUGGUGCGGAACAAGGUUAGGGGAUUAGGGGAAAGUUGGUUUUCAAAAGGAUGAGGCCAGCUUCCUGCCGGAUCUGCAGCUGUUUCACGACCGAAAUGGGACGCCGUUUAUGCGGAUGUGAAUUUGCACCGGUUGUAUUCGAUUAAGUUAAUUUUAACGGUGAGGAGAAGGAUCCGACGGAAGAGGGAAACGACGAGAAGCGAUCGGAGGUGGUCAGCGCGGAUGUUGCACUCGGUGCCGGAAGUGUUGACGGAACAGUGUGGGAUGUCCUGAGGGUCCGCAGUCCAUUUCUCGGUGCGGGACAUGUUUGACGAGUAUUACAUAAACAUCCGGAAGAACAGUUUCAACCAGUUCUGGAAGAACCGUCUGUACGAAAGUCGCAGGUCCUGAAGCUGUCGUACUCGGAUUACUUCCAGAGGUUGGAGUGAUAUCCGACGAACCUGAUCAAGAACAUCUACCUGGAAUACCGAAGAAGUCACCGCAACUCCCGCCCGCAAACUCUCAACUCGCGACGGCGCAGCUUCGGCCGGAUGAACUGGCAACAUCUGUGCCAUUCUCGAAGGAGGACGAUUCGAUCGGGAACUAUCGGUUUAGGCGCUUCACUUCCCAGUCGAAAAACGUCGACUUACCUUCCCGAAUUAACACCCAAUGGCCAACUCCUCCAAGUUAGCCUCCAAGCCUGUCCUGAUGAUGACCGGCAACGAGACUACCCUGUUCUCUACAUCGCUGUCGCGCUCCAAAAUGUAGGCCGCGAUGUUAAGCAGCAUAAGCAGCAGUUUUAAUAUUAACAUAAAAAUAAAAAUAGAAAUAAAAUCCAUCUCAUUUUUCGAAAAUCAUCACUGUAAUGUUAAAUGUUAUUUAUUGUUGCCAUAAAAAGUUUCUUCUUAUAAUAAAAGUAAAAAACUUUUACCGAUACAACGAUUUUGUUCCAGAAGUGCAUGGUAGUAUCAAAAACUUUCCAACUUUUAAAUUAAAAAGUUUGAACUUUCUACGAAUAUUCACCAACGCGAACUUUUAAUCCAACGAACGAUCUUUUUAAAAUUAGAGUAUUUUUUCUUUG